UUGAGUCGAUCUGUAAUUUUUUUUGUCAAGAUCUAAAAAAUAAAAUUUAAGAAGCUAAGUUAUUGAGAAACUUUGCAAUCUCGUGUUUGGAGUUUAUUUAUAAAUUUACAAUAAUCAUUUUGAGAUUGAUUCUUCUCAUGUUUCAUUACAUAUUAGUGUUUGCCAAUCUUUUAUGCUCUUUUUAACAUGGAACUUCACUUCACUGCAGUUAUUGGCCUAACGUGACGUCGCCACCAGCAAUAACCUCAAAUUCAUGGGAGGUAACCUCCUUCAUUUGAAUUCCACAUCCAACUUUUGCAGUGCCACUUUCACCUUUCAUUAAUCUCCUGCAACUUGCAGGCUGGCUUUUCCUAAAUGCAACUUCUGGCACACAUUUAUACUUUGACAAAGAAACAAGUGACGGUGACACCUUCGUAUCCCAGUAACUUGCUCUAGCUUUAACAAUUUAUUCUUGAGUUUUUGCUUGAAAACCCCCCAUGUAAACAAAUACGUCUGUUUUAUUUUUUAGCUUUGGUAAUGAUGACUUAGCCUCUUCCACAAGUUUGACCAAAUAUGGUGGUGUUAAUAAAAUAGAAACAGUAGCAGAGUCAGGGCUCGACACCUAUGUGGUCAAAUCCCCUCCUCAGGUCCAUUGCCUAUAUUUUUCCUAAUGCUUACUGUUUUCACAUUUCAUUCAUUCUAGACGCUUAUUAAUAUGUUCUAAUUCAGGUUGUAGAGUUCUUUAUUCUUUUUUUUUGUCAACUGUGUUUCUUUUUCCUUAAGGAUUGGUUUUUUAUUCCUUACCAACAUAUCAGAACUAAAACCAAUCUGAGGAAGUUGGUGACAGAGGAGAUGCUGCAAUCGGACGGGCAUAACUCGAUCAUUAUCGUAGAUGGUGCUAAUAUGAUAGGGUGGCCUGAGAAGAUGAUUGAUGAUGAGCUGGAGAUCGUGAGGAAUGCUGGUGUUGUGCAGCUUCAAAGAGAGAUCCCACACUCCAUCAACAUUCAAGUUGCUAAGGCUGUGAAGAGAGCAGUUGUGCCGGUCAUCUGACGUGGAAGGAAUCGAUACCCCAAUCCCUAAUGAGCUAUUGGAUUCAGUUGACAUCUUGCAACAUUAUGAAACUGAGCUCUGUUGCUUGACCGGAAUGCCUACUGAAACUUUUUAACAGAUUCGCCAAGCUGUUGUAAAGUGUCAUAAAUUGGUGCUUGACGGAGAGUAUGGUUAAACCGUCCUUUCAUAUAUGUCGCAAGUGAUGAAAUGUUGCCAAGUUACAUAUUAUUUAAUAGUUUUAUUUAUUAUGGAAUUUUUUUUUGUCAACCUAUUAUUAUGGAGUUAUUUUAGCAUUGUAAUCGUGCUACUGCUUGAUGUGAUAAUUAAGUGAAGGACUAUUCAAGUUUUCUUAUACGUAAUACAAAAUUUCAAGUAUAAAUAGAUCAUUUUUUUGAAGGGAGGAGAAAAAUCUAAUUACAAUGUUUUUUUUUUGAAGUGAUUCCUCAUAAAAUUUGCUUACUUUUUUGUCACGAAGUUCAAAUUAAAGAAAUUAACAAAAAAGAAAAAUGGAAACCAUAACCAAUGAUUAAUAAACAAUCAAAAAAUACUUUUACAAAAAUUUGUUUAAAAUUAAAGUUUAGAAGAUAUAAAAAAAUGAAAAAUGAAAAAUAUUGAAAAUACAUAAUAUAAUUGCGAAAAAUAAGUCAACAAACAAUAAUUUAGUGAAAAUGCAUAAUCUAAUCUAAAAUAUGUAUAAACUUCCUAAAUAUCUAAAAAAUCAUAACAACGAAAAUAAAAUAAAUACAUUUGUGAUAUUAUUUCUCAUAUUUCAUCAAACUCAGACCAAGAGAAAAAUAUAUAUUCUCACAAAUAUAUUUUCUUUUGUGCUUACCAAAAUCAAACUUUACAAAAUUAAUAUGAAAAAUGAUGGAAAAGCAGUGAUUAUACAUAAUCAAAACAUUUUCUAAAAACUAAAAUUAUAUAAUAAA